UACGGAGGAUGCAAGCGUUAUCCGGAAUGAUUGGGCGUAAAGCGCGUGUAGGCGGUCCGGUAAGUCCGCUGUGAAAGUCGGGGGCUCAACCCUCGGAUGCCGGUGGAUACUGUCGGGCUUGAGUACGGAAGAGGCGAGUGGAAUUCCUGGUGUAGCGGUGAAAUGCGCAGAUAUCAGGAGGAACACCAAUUGCGAAGGCAGCUCGCUGGGACGUUACUGACGCUGAGACGCGAAAGCGUGGGGAGCGAACAGG
rnacentral:rRNA from 1 species